GCUUUCAGGGGUCAGUGGUAGAAUUCUUGCCUUUCAUGCAAGAGACCCAUGUUUGAUUCUUGGCCAAUGCA
rnacentral:tRNA from 1 species